AUUCCAGCAGCCCCCCCCCCUUACGAGGAAGAGGCGUCCUGCUCUGGGGCUCCUUUGCCUCGGAGACUCAGCUCCUUGUCACUUCUAUUCGCACUACCCUUACUCCUACCUGCUAACAGACCUUCAGCAAAUCUCGCAUUGGAGUUCUCCAGGAGAGAAUCUGGUUGCUUUGGGCUCGGCUGUACGGCAGAGCUUUUGCCCUGGACAACUAGAAACCCCUGCCUUUUGGGGAGGCAUCCAUCCUCGGUUUAUUUAUCUUCUUUUGCCUGGUAAUGAAAGCUGAGCUGACAGACUGAACUGGACAUGAUGCAUUUACCAAAAGAUGAGAAACCUGAGGCAGAGCCGGUUCCCGUGACUUCAGGCUCAGGGCACUUCAGGCACCACCAGUUGGUGGCGGAUCCGGGACCGAGGAUGGCAGGGGGCGCAGCGCAUCUUCAUGCCGGACAGUAGCUGACACGUGAUCGGAGCACAGUGAGUGAACUGGCGAGCAGAGAGACUGGUGACUUGUCCAGGUUCAUAGAGCUGGCUGGGGGCAGAGCUGGGGAGAACGAUCUCAGAGGGCUUACCUCCCAGGGCUGAUGGCGUGAUGUGACCACAACCAAGCAACAGCAAAGAAGACACUUUUACACACACACCUCAUUUACAUCAUGUUUCAUAUCAUGCUUUGCUACAAUAAAGCAUGAAGCCAUUCAGUUCUGCUGCUGGAGAUGUAAAAGGGGACAGGGUAUAUAUCAUGUGCACUGGACGGUGGAGAAGAUGGUGAAUGCCUGGAGAGGAGAGAUUUGGAAAUCAGAUGACCUGCCACUUCUUAGAUAGUGACCUUGGGCAGAUGACUUCGUACCACUGAGCCUCAGUUUCCUCCUCUGCAAAAAUGGAAAUAGCCAUGUCCGUAUUGUAUCAAGGAUUACGUAUGUGAAGUCCCUAUUCCAGGCCUGGGCCAUAGUGAGCCCUCAAUGAGUGAAGCUAUUAUUCACGUUGUUGGUGUUACUAUCAGUAUAUAUUUGUGUCUCCUCCAAGCAGAGUGCUGAGCCCACAGUGGGCAGGAACUGUGUCUUUCUCAUUUCUCUCUGCACCCCUGAUGCCCAGCACCUUGCCUGGCACAAAGCUGGCGCUUGAUGAAAGGCUGCUGGAUUAAACUCAGAAACUUGUUAUUCCUCAUUUGCGUGUGGCCCUUUGCACUUUUUCAGAUCCUCUGGAUAUGUAUUCUACCUGAGCCUUGCCAAAUGCCUGUGGGGCAGGCAAGGCGGGUGGUAUACAUGAUCACCCCCAUUUUAUAGCUGGAAGAAGUUGAGGCUUAGAGAGGUGAUGCCUCCUGCCCAAGUCACAAGGCUGAGCUGAGCUGGGACCAGGCUCUCCAGUCUCCAGGAGCCACCGCCACUGUGUGAAAACGAGCUACAGGAAGCAGAAGGUGCUGCAAUGAACCGAGUUAGGAAGACAGCCCCACCCCCACCCCCAUCUCCGCCAUCAAAUCCCAGCAUUUCUUGCCCAUAGACUCAAAAGGGCUUGGCCCCUCUUCCUGGCUGGGCUCGGCCCUGUUCUUCAAUCCAAGGUGAAGCCAGAUGCCACUGGCAUCAGGAAGUACCUGGGGAGCCAUGUGGAUGUCAGUGCAUUUCAGCCAGGGGUUUGGGGUGCUGCCUGGGGCACUCAGAGGAGCUCAGAGAGCCCUAAGUGGGCUGCAGAAGACACCCCGGGUCUGCAUCCCAGCCAGGGCUGACAGCCUUGCUGACAGGUUUAUUACCCGAUUUAUGACUUCCAAGCUUAGUCACUGCUUAAGUCAGCCUGCCCUGAAACAAACACAUAGCAAAGCCGUGACCCAGAUGCUUAAGCUGGGAAAGGCACGCCCCACCCUCGGCAGAACGCGCCUCCCAGGCCAAGUCCGGGGCGGCGAGGAGGCAGCGGGCCUGUGGGCAUGUUGCAUUUCGGUGACCCGCACACUUGCCCUUUGUUUUCCUCCAGUCUCCACUACCCAGUUUCUAGGCUUAGGAAGCAGGAGCCUGCUGCCAGCUGCAACAGCCCAACACACGCCAAGAGUGUCUGAGCCCCCGGCCCCCAGCCCUUCCUUGAGAGCUGAGCCCCGAAGGGUGAAAGGGGAGGGUUGGUGCAUCCUCUGGCAGGUGAAGCACCCGCUGUAAAUGCCCUCCUUGCUUUGGGGUAACAGCCUAUGAUGGAAGCUGGAAUCUUAACCCAAUAGGUUCCUAUUCCUGCCCCUGCUCUCCCUCCACUUGGGUUCCGUUAAAACCAGACCCACUCCAGAAGCUCUCCAGCCUUGGCCGAGGUCUGCAGUCCUUCCGCUUGCUUGGGACCCAGCAGGUGGCAGGACAGGCGGCCACUGUAGCAGAGACAGUCCGCAGCCAGACCCUGAGGAAGUGCUGGCAUGUAAUUGUGUGUGUUCCCAGCCUCGCUUGGGGGACAGGCCACCCCCGGCUGCAACAGAGCCCCAGGGGCCAGCGACCCAGUGACUGUCACUCUAAUGGAGGGCACUGGAAGCACACCAAGGCCCAGACAGGGGCCUCCCAGCCAGUGGCAGCCCGAUCCAAGGAAAAAGUCACCCCACAAAUUAUUUACUAAUUGUUAGAAGGGUUUGCUGAAUGAUUUGUGCUACAUUUAGAGAAUAAAGGUCACAUUCUUUUAAAAAAUGUUUAUGUAUUAAUGUAAACAGUCCAGAUGACAGAUCUUGUACAUCAGCUGACCCCCUGCCUCCAGCCUUACCCAGGGACCAGGCACUCGGUCCCACCUGGUUUUGCCCCUGCUCUGGGUUCAGUCGGAGACACCCAUUGACAGUCAGGCGUUCAUGCCAAAUGGGGCCUUCUCUUGCUAAGUGGGUUCUCAUGCUAAGAUGUCUUUUCCCAUCUUGAGCCCAGAUCCCUCCGAAUCCCUUUUGCUCCCCUGGCUUUGGCUGGUGCAGAGCCAGGCCCGGAGGAGGAAACACCUCCCGUCCCAGGCAGCCCCGGCCAUUGGCAUUAGACCCCGUGUCCUCGCAGAGCUCUUCCUUUCUGGCUCCCUCCCUUUGCGUGGCUGAGCCCUGCUCCUGGGUGGGUGGAGUCUCCCUGAGAAGGUGGCAGCCCGGCCCAGAAGGCUCACUCUCUGCAAGCCCUACCUGGGCCACAGGAGACCCCCAUGAGGGCUGGGUUUGGUGAGUGCAGGAUUAG